GGGGGAGGGGCGCGGCGUCAGCGCGUCGCCGGCUGGGCCGCGCCGGUGGCCAGGAGGGAGAGACAAGGAGGAGGAGGAGGAGGUGUCCUCCUCAGUAGCAUGAAUGUUAUCAGAGAACUAAUAUAGUUAUGAGGAUUUAAUGAGGUAAUACAUGUGACAAUGAUGAUAAAAAUCCCUUCAAGAAUUUAGAUGUGACAUCUGCAGCAGGUUCAAAUCUCUCAGCUAUAAGACAAACUGGAUACUUCGUAAAGAUUUUCAUCUGUUAUGCACAGAGCCAAAAUCCGUUACUGAAAUUGUCUGGGUGAGCUGCCUGCUGGGUCCAGUGAUGCACUAGUAGACAAAGAAGUUGAAAGAGAAGGAUGGCAUAUUCUUUGGAUGACUGGCAGAUUGUGACACCAAAAUGGCAUCAAACCCUACUAUGAUUCCAAGGACUUCAUGAUUAAAUAAAAAUUGAUUUUUUUUUAAUUUAUAUUUUUUGGUUGGGAGGGCAUAGUUGAAGUAAAUUUGAUCUUUACUUGGGGAAUGUGUAAUGUUUUAUCAUUCCAUAAUGAUACAUGGUAAUUGCUUGGUAAUCAAACUUCAAAGGUUCUGUCUAUAUGGAACUUAUGUAGUUACCACCUUUUAGUGUUGGAUUCUCUUACUUAAGGGAUCUAUGGUAAAGAAAAACAUCUGUUUAAACUAAAGAAAAUUAACUUAAAAAGGCUAAUUUAAAGACAGUCAUUUUUAUAAGAAAGUUUUUGCUUUGGGGGAUUUCUUGAAAUUUUGCUGUCCUACAGCAUAUAUAAAAUAUGUUUCUGGGGUGCCUGGGUGGCUC